GAUGAACGCUGGCGGCGUGCUUAACACAUGCAAGUCGAGCGAGUGAGUUCUUCGGAACGAUCUAGCGGCGGACGGGUGAGUAACACGUGGGCAACCUGCCUCAUAGAGGGGAAUAGCCUCCCGAAAGGGAGAUUAAUACCGCAUAAAAUUAUCGAGUGGCAUCACAUGAUAAUCAAAGGAGUAAUCCGCUACGAGAUGGGCCCGCGGCGCAUUAGCUAGUUGGUGAGGUAACGGCUCACCAAGGCGACGAUGCGUAGCCGACCUGAGAGGGUGAUCGGCCACAUUGGGACUGAGGCACGGCCCAGACUCCUACGGGAGGCAGCAGUGGGGAAUAUUGCACAAUGGGGGAAACCCUGAUGCAGCAACGCCGCGUGAGUGAUGAAGGUCUUCGGAUUGUAAAGCUCUGUCUUUGGGGACGAUAAUGAUGGUACCCAAGGAGGAAGCCACGGCUAACUACGUGCCAGCCGCCGCUGUAA
rnacentral:rRNA from 1 species